rnacentral:rRNA from 1 species
UGGCUCAGAUUGAACGCUGGCGGCAGGCCUAACACAUGCAAGUCGAGCGGUAGAGAGAAGCUUGCUUCUCUUGAGAGCGGCGGACGGGUGAGUAAUGCCUAGGAAUCUGCCUGGUAGUGGGGGAUAACGUUCGGAAACGAACGCUAAUACCGCAUACGUCCUACGGGAGAAAGCAGGGGACCUUCGGGCCUUGCGCUAUCAGAUGAGCCUAGGUCGGAUUAGCUAGUUGGUGAGGUAAUGGCUCACCAAGGCGACGAUCCGUAACUGGUCUGAGAGGAUGAUCAGUCACACUGGAACUGAGACACGGUCCAGACUCCUACGGGAGGCAGCAGUGGGGAAUAUUGGACAAUGGGCGAAAGCCUGAUCCAGCCAUGCCGCGUGUGUGAAGAAGGUCUUCGGAUUGUAAAGCACUUUAAGUUGGGAGGAAGGGCAGUUACCUAAUACGUGAUUGUUUUGACGUUACCGACAGAAUAAGCACCGGCUAACUCUGUGCCAGCAGCCGCGGUAAUACAGAGGGUGCAAGCGUUAAUCGGAAUUACUGGGCGUAAAGCGCGCGUAGGUGGUUUGUUAAGUUGGAUGUGAAAUCCCCGGGCUCAACCUGGGAACUGCAUUCAAAACUGACUGACUAGAGUAUGGUAGAGGGUGGUGGAAUUUCCUGUGUAGCGGUGAAAUGCGUAGAUAUAGGAAGGAACACCAGUGGCGAAGGCGACCACCUGGACUAAUAC